rnacentral:rRNA from 1 species
UACGUAGGGGGCAAGCGUUGUCCGGAAUUAUUGGGCGUAAAGAGCACGUAGGCGGUUAGAUAAGUUGGAUGUGAAAGGCUACGGCUCAACCGUAGAGCGGCAUCCAAAACUGUUUAACUUGAGUGCAGCAGAGGAGAGUGGAAUUCCCGGUGUAGCGGUGGAAUGCGUAGAGAUCGGGAGGAACACCAGUGGCGAAGGCGACUCUCUGGGCUGCAACUGACGCUGAGGUGCGAAAGCGUGGGGAGCGAAC